rnacentral:lncRNA from 1 species
CUUUCUGAACUCUUGCUAGGAGGGGCCUGUUUGGGAACAGUAAACUUCCACUAAAUUGACCCCUCUUGGGUCAUUUUUCCAACCUAAUUUGUAGCUGAAUGUAAAACAUUGCACAUGUCUUUUGAUGGGAAACAAGGCGUGGACAGUCCGAGAGCCCGGGGUCCCAGCUUUGGCAUUCAGAUGAAUCAUUGAAAAGACUCAGUGGCUUGCGGUUCCCAAAGCUUUUGAGAAAGCCAGGAGAAAACGAUGAGGCCCUUGGCACCUAGUUAAACACAACUAUGUUCUGUGUUUUUGUGUAUUACAUUAAAAAAUGGUAAAAACU